rnacentral:lncRNA from 1 species
ACACUAACUAAGCUUACACAAUCCCACAUUAUUUGAUCAAUUUUGUCUCGCUCAAAUCAUAUUUUUCUUCAACACUAAAUAUCUCUUUAUUAUCCGUUCCUUUCUCAAGGACAGAAAGCCUGAAAAGUUGGUAGUUCAGAUCUCAGUUCAGAGUUCAACUGCCUUAUAUUUUUACAUUACAUGGAGAUACUAAUGAAAUGGAAGAAAGAUUGAAUUUUUAUGUCCAGUAACUUUCAGAAGGCCUCAGUAUUUUGGAUCGCUCUAGAGACAAAUAAAAUAAAAUAAAAUAAAAACUCUGGUAACG